AUGGCAAUCAUUCUUGCAAUGCCGACAAGCAUCCCUUUGAACACAAGCACUGGCAACACUCAAGUAGAUGGAACUGCCGCGGAUACUGAAGUGAAUGAUGAAACUGACGACGACGCACAAGGGGAUGAAGAUGGUGGGCAAUCAGAUAUCGUGGUACCUCAACCACCGUACGUUGGGCAGAGAUUUGAAUCAUUCGAAGAAGCAAAGGAAUUCUACCAGACAUAUGCAAAGUUCCAUGGAUUUGUGGUCAACACCGAAUACCAUAGGAAAAUUAAGAAAACUAACGAGUACAGCAGAGGUGAGAUGAGGUGCCACAAGGCACGGAGGAACAAGAAGGGGAAAGGAUCUGAGCUACAGCAAGAAGCUACCACCGCGCUAAAGCAGCCGAGAUUGCUAACGUAUUUACCGAUCGAGAGGCAAAUGAGCAAGAUAUACACAAACAAGAUCUUUAACAAAUUCCAUGAAGAAAUAAAGCGUGCCAGCAUGUUCACGGCUUUCCAGGUGGACGAACAUACGUUCAAGACAACAAACGCAGUUCUGGCUGUGCAUGACGAGAGACCUGAGGCAACCAUGGAAGCCGUGAGGCACAUUGUGCUGACAAAGAACUGUGCUGAGCUAAUUGAUGAAGCGUGCAAGAGUGAUGAGUCAGCGAGAGUCGCAGAAAAACACAGGAAAGCACUUAAAACAGAGCUUGAUAAGAUCAAGAAGAGGAAAGCUGAGGAAGCCUUACACCGGUUCCCCCGCACAUCAAGUGUGCCUUCAUCCAGGGGGCCAUCAUCUGAAAACUCAGAGAUAGGAUCUGGAACAGCAAGCACACAGACCCAGGUCAGGAACCCACCCCGUUCCAUCACAAAGGGUCGUCCAAGAGAGAUAAGGUACAAGUCGGGAUUGGAGAUUCAAGCAAAACACAAGAAAACGAAGAAAGGGGCGGGCAAUCCAUAA
rnacentral:rRNA from 1 species